GAUGAACGCGGCGGCGUGCCUCAUACAUGCAAGUCGAGCGAACAGACGAGGAGCUUGCUCCUUUGACGUAGCGGCGGACGGGGUGAGUAACACGUGGAUAACCUACCUAUAAGACUGGGAUAACUUCGGGAAACCGGAGCUAAUACCGGAUAACAUGUUGAACCGCAUGGUUCAACAGUGAAAGACGGUCUUGCUGUCACUUAUAGAUGGAUCCGCGCCGCAUUAGCUAGUUGGUAAGGUAACGGCUUACCAAGGCAACGAUGCGUAGCCGACCUGAGAGGGUGAUCGGCCACACUGGAACUGAGACACGGUCCAGACUCCUACGGGAGGCAGCAGUAGGGAAUCUUCCGCAAUGGGCGAAAGCCUGACGGAGCAACGCCGCGUGAGUGAAGAAGGUCUUCGGAUCGUAAAACUCUGUUAUUAGGGGAGAACAAAUGUGUAAGUAACUAUGCACGUCUUGACGGUACCUAAUCAGAAAGCCACGGCUAACUACGUGCCAGCAGCCGCGGUAAUACGUAGGUGGCAAGCGUUAUCCGGAAUUAUUGGGCGUAAAGCGCGCGUAGGCGGUUUUUUAAGUCUGAUGUGAAAGCCCACGGCUCAACCGUGGAGGGUCAUUGGAAACUGGAAAACUUGAGUGCAGAAGAGGAAAGUGGAAUUCCAUGUGUAGCGGUGAAAUGCGCAGAGAUAUGGAGGAACACCAGUGGCGAAGGCGACUUUCUGGUCUGUAACUGACGCUGAUGUGCGAAAGCGUGGGGAUCAAACAGG
rnacentral:rRNA from 1 species